UUCGGGACUGAUUAUUUUGUGACUGAGUGGCGGACGGGUGAGUAACGCGUGGGUAACCUGCCUCAUACAGGGGAAUAACAGUUGGAAACGGCUGCUAAAACCGCAUAAGCGCACAGUAUCGCAUGAUACAGUGUGAAAAACUCCGGUGGUAUAAGAUGGACCCGCGUCUGAUUAGCUAGUUGGUGAGAUAACAGCCCACCAAGGCGACGAUCAGUAGCCGACCUGAGAGGGCGACCGGCCACAUUGGGACUGAGACACGGCCCAGACUCC
rnacentral:rRNA from 1 species